ACAGAACUGCCCGGUCCUGCCCCUGAGGAGUUUCCCUCACUGCGUGAAAACGAGGAUGAAAUCUCUGCUGCUUUUCCUGUCGCUGUUCUCUGUCCCCUCCUGUGUCCUCUCCCAGGUGCAGCUGGUCCAGACCGGCCCAGGAGCGGUGAAGCCGGGAGCGACCCUCAGUAUCACCUGUAAGGUCUCAGGUCUCUCCGUCAGCAGCAACUAUUGGGGCUGGGUCCGACAGCCACCGGGGAAAGGGCUGGAGUGGAUGGGGCGCAUCCGGAGCACUGCAGACGGAGGCACCACAGAUUACAGCUCGGCUUUCAGUAGCCGGAUCACCAUCACCAGGGACACCUCGAAGGACGAAGUCUAUCUCCAGCUCCGCUCCCUGACAGCUGCAGACACCGCCACCUAUUACUGCGCCAGAGACACAGUGACACAGAGCAAAGCAGGGCCUGGCACAAAAAGGGGAAGCGAAUUUCUAGUCAGCCGACAUGAACUUUCAGUUGGUGCUGCAGGGGAUGAGACAGACGAGGCAUUACUAACAGGGGUAUCUCAGGAGCCACCCGCCUUUCUCCCCCUGCAUCGCACCGUCCCACCGAGGGAUUUUACACGCUCCGCUUCCCUGCACUUCCCCCUGAAAUGUGCACCCAGGACUCACUGA